rnacentral:rRNA from 1 species
UGGGGAAUUUUGGACAAUGGGGGAAACCCUGAUCCAGCCAUCUCGCGUGUGCGAUGAAGGCCUUCGGGUUGUAAAGCACUUUUGGCAGGAAAGAAACGUCAUGGGUUAAUACCCCGUGAAACUGACGGUACCUGCAGAAUAAGCACCGGCUAACUACGUGCCAGCAGCCGCGGUAAUACGUAGGGUGCAAGCGUUAAUCGGAAUUACUGGGCGUAAAGCGUGCGCAGGCGGUUCGGAAAGAAAGAUGUGAAAUCCCAGAGCUCAACUUUGGAACUGCAUUUUUAACUACCGGGCUAGAGUGUGUCAGAGGGAGGUGGAAUUCCGCGUGUGGCAGUGAAAUGCGUAGAUAUGCGGAGGAACACCGAUGGCGAAGGCAGCCUCCUGGGAUAACACUGACGCUCAUGCACGAAAGCGUGGGGAGCAAACAGG